rnacentral:misc_RNA from 1 species
AAGAGGUAGGUGUACAUCAGUGGGCU